UACGUAGGGUGCAAGCGUUUGUCCGGAAUUAUUGGGCGUAAAGAGCUCGUAGGCGGUUUUGUUGCGUCGGCUGUGAAAUCCCGAGGCUCAACCUCGGGUCUGCAGUCGAUACGAGCAAACUAGAGUGUUGCAGGGGAGACUGGAAUUCCUGGUGUAGCGGUGAAAUGCGCAGAUAUCAGGAGGAACACCGGUGGCGAAGGCGGGGUCUCUGGGCAACAACUGACGCUGGAGGAGCGAAAGCGUGGGGAGCGAACAGG
rnacentral:rRNA from 1 species